UACGUAGGGGGCUAGCGUUGUCCGGAUUUAUUGGGCGUAAAGAGCGUGUAGGCGGCCAGGUAGGUCUGCUGUGAAAACUCGAGGCUCAACCUCGAGAUGUCGGCGGAAACCAUCUGGCUAGAGUCCGGAAGAGGAGAGUGGAAUUCCUGGUGUAGCGGUGAAAUGCGCAGAUAUCAGGAAGAACACCCGUGGCGAAGGCGGCUCUCUGGGACGGUACUGACGCUGAGACGCGAAAGCGUGGGGAGCAAAGCAGG
rnacentral:rRNA from 1 species